GUGUUAAAAACGCCCCAAAAACAACCUAAAUGAUAAUUUUUUUACUUGAAAUUUUAUGACUUUUCCUAGAUUGGCCCCAACUGCAGAAAAAUUGAAAUGUUGUUUUUAUUCACAUUUCCAUGGAAGCUGUACAAAAAAAAGUACAAAGGUGGUCUUCGGGUCAAAAUGACCCAUGACGCAAAUAGGGUUGAAAUCAAGGUCACAAAGUUAUUUACACACCAUAGAAUGUUUCAGUGUUUUAGUUGUGUCUCAGAUCAAUUAGUAGAACACGUGAACAAGAUGGUAGCAGACAUAAACAAGACAAGAUAGCUCCCCUACGAUUGUCACACUUUUUCUGUUACAAUUUGACACCGGCCCCCCAUCAGAGAAGGGAAAAGUUAUGUGG